GACGGAGGAUGCAAGCGUUAUCCGGAAUUAUUGGGCGUAAAGCGUCCGCAGGUGGACAUACAAGUCUGCUGUCAAAGUGCAGAGCUUAACUCUGUAAAGGCGGUGGAAACUGUAGGUCUUGAGUAUGGUAGGGGUAGAGGGAAUUCCCGGUGUAGCGGUGAAAUGCGUAGAGAUCGGGAAGAACAUCGGUGGCGAAGGCGCUCUACUGGACCACAACUGACACUCAGGGACGAAAGCUAGGGGAGCGAAUGGG
rnacentral:rRNA from 1 species